CCCUUAGAUGUUCUGGGCCGCACGCGUGCUACACUGAGUGGAUCAGCGGGUCAGGUUGCGCGAAAGCGUUUCCUAAUCUUUAAAUCCGCUCGUGAUGGGGAUUGACGGUUGCAAUUUUCUGUCAUGAACGAGGAAUACCUUGUAAGCGCGGGUCAUCAUCCCGCGCUGAAUACGUCCCUGCCCUUUGUACACACCGCCCGUCGCUCCUACCGAUUGAGUGGUCCGGUGAAUUAUUCGGACUGCAACAGUUAUCUGUCGCGGAAAGUCUUGUGAACCUUAACACUUAGAGGAAGGAAAAGUCGUAACA
rnacentral:rRNA from 1 species